CCUACGGGAGGCAGCAGUGAGGAAUAUUGGGCAAUGGCCGGAAGGCUGAACCAGCCAUGCCGCGUGAAGGGCAGGGGCCUAGGGGCGGUAAACUUCUUUUGUGCGGGAGCAAGAAUGGUCACGUGUGGCCAGACGAGAGUACCGUACGAAUAAGCAGCGGCUAACGCCGUGCCAGCAGCCGCGGUAAUAGGGGGGAUGCAAGCGUUAUCCGGAUUUAUUGGGUUUAAAGGGAGCGUAGAUGGGUUGUUAAGUCAGUGGUGAAAGUUUGCGGCUCAACCGUAAAAUUGCAAUUGAUACUGGCGGUCUUGAGUACAGGUGAGGUAGGCGGAAUUCGUGGUGUAGCGGUGAAAUGCUUAGAUAUCACGAAGAACUCCGAUUGCGAAGGCAGCUUACUAGACUGCCACUGACAUUGAUGCUCGAAAGUGUGGGUAUCAAACAGGAUUAGAUACCCCAGUAGUC
rnacentral:rRNA from 1 species